rnacentral:rRNA from 1 species
CGUGAGCAACCUGCCCUAGGCUUUGGGAUAACCCCGGGAAACCGGGGCUAAUACCGAAUAGGACCUCUGACCGCAUGGUUGGUGGUGGAAAGUUUUUCGGCCUGGGAUGGGCUCGCGGCCUAUCAGCUUGUUGGUGGGGUGAUGGCCUACCAAGGCGACGACGGGUAGCCGGCCUGAGAGGGCGACCGGCCACACUGGGACUGAGACACGGCCCAGACUCCUACGGGAGGCAGCAGUGGGGAAUAUUGCACAAUGGGCGGAAGCCUGAUGCAGCGACGCCGCGUGAGGGAUGACGGCCUUCGGGUUGUAAACCUCUUUCAGCAGGGACGAAGCGUAAGUGACGGUACCUGCAGAAGAAGCGCCGGCCAACUACGUGCCAGCAGCCGCGGUAAGACGUAGGGCGCGAGCGUUGUCCGGAUUUAUUGGGCGUAAAGAGCUCGUAGGCGGCUUGUCGCGUCGACUGUGAAAACCCGCAGCUCAACUGCGGGCCUGCAGUCGAUACGGGCA